rnacentral:rRNA from 1 species
GUGGGGAAUCUUGCGCAAUGGGCGAAAGCCUGACGCAGCCAUGCCGCGUGAAUGAUGAAGGUCUUAGGAUUGUAAAAUUCUUUCACCGGGGACGAUAAUGACGGUACCCGGAGAAGAAGCUCCGGCUAACUUCGUGCCAGCAGCCGCGGUAAUACGAAGGGGGCUAGCGUUGCUCGGAAUUACUGGGCGUAAAGGGCGCGUAGGCGGACAGCUUAGUCAGAGGUGAAAGCCCAGGGCUCAACCUUGGAAUUGCCUUCGAUACUGGCUGUCUUGAGUUUGGGAGAGGUGAGUGGAACUCCGAGUGUAGAGGUGAAAUUCGUAGAUAUUCGGAAGAACACCAGUGGCGAAGGCGACUCACUGGCCCAAUACUGACGCUGAGGCGCGAAAGCGUGGGGAGCAAACAGGAUUAGAAACCCGGGUAGUCC